rnacentral:rRNA from 1 species
AACGAACGCUGGCGGCGUGGAUAAGACAUGCAAGUCGAACGGGACAGACCGAGUAGCAAUAUUUGGAAUGUUCAGUGUCGAACGGGUGCGUAACACGUGGAUAACAUUCCGGAAAGCGGGGAAUAGCCCAGGGAAACUUGGAUUAAUACCGCAUGUGGCCGCAAGGCUAAAGACGGGGACCGCAAGGUCUGUAACUUUCCGAUUGUUUCGCGGCCUAUCAGCUAGCUGGCGGGGUAAUGGCCUACCAAGGCUACCACGGGUAGCUGGUCUUAGAGGACGACCAGCCACACUGGAACUGAGACACGUUCCAGACACCUACGGGUGGCAGCAGUCGAGAAUCUUUCACAAUGGGGGCAACCCUGAUGGAGCGACGCCGCGUGGAGGAUAAGGUCUUCGGAUUGUAAACUCCUGUCAUGCGAGAACAAGGUACUCAGGCUAAUAACCUGAUUGUUUGAUGGUACUGCAAGAGGAAGAGACGGCUAACUCUGUGCCAGCAGCCGCCGUAAUAC